CUGUAGCUCAGUGGUAGAGCAUCUGCUUUGCAUGCAGAAGGUCCCAGGCAUCUCCAGGUACACCUGGUAGAGA